UAAUAUUUCAAAAGCUCUGCUUCACCAUAGAACAGCCAGAAUCAACAACUAACUUAAAUCUCAUUGAUUUCAAUAGGUUUUCUCAAUAUUGAACAAUGGCCAGAUUAAAGACAGAGAUCAUGAUGCUGUCAAGAAGUGAUGAACUGCAGCACCCAGAAUAUCUUCCUGCUGGCUAUGCCAGAGGGGUACCUGGAAGAGAAACAUAGAAUCCAUCAUCUCAUAAACAACCAGAUUUCCCAAGCUUCCUCACACUUAUCUGGAAGAGUUUUUGAACCAACUUAUGCAAUUUUAGCUUCAGGUAUGUAUGCAUGUGUGUGUGUGUAUGUGUGUGUGUGUGUGCAUAUAUAUGAUAAAUGGUGUGUA
rnacentral:lncRNA from 11 species